CUGGAUUAGUAGAAUCAGGUGUGUAACUGCCGAGUUGGAACAAAAGCCUGCACCCACACCGGCCCUUUCUGGAUGAGAUUGAGGACCCCUGCGAUACGGGUUUGACAGACAAUCCAGUUCAUAACACAUCGAAAUCGGGCGCUAAGAGCUCCAAUUUAGCAUUUCUUUAAAUUCAAUAGGCCUAACGAAGACUCCUAGCACUCCCUCUAGCGUCAGUAUUACGCGUAUUCCUUCAUUGCUACCUCAAGAGCUUUGGAAGACGACUGGAUGCAUGGGAGUGUGGUCUCCAGUGGCAGUCAACUGCUGAAGUACACAGGCUCCAUCUUGUGCACACUGACAAGGCGAUGCACGCUGGCAGUGCCUCAGACUCCUGGUGCGCAGUCCGACUUAUGUACCGUCUCAUCCCGUCGCCAGGGAAACUGCCACACCUUCCUCAACCCCUCACGGUCGCUAGCGGUCCAUCUGCGAGUCAUGGAUUAAGAAAUGAGCUGCGUGGGUUACAGUCUCAUAUGAGCACAGGGAUAUGAAGUUAAUGCUUAUGGGAGGGGUUAAGUACUGGGUUACACACUGGAAGGAUCAGGAAAAUUAGCAUUCCUGAAACUUUCUGCAGGUUGGCGGAGACAUCCUUGAAGCGAUACGACAGAAUCGUGACUGUUGUGACGCACUCGAAGAGCAGAAACACAGCUAUCUGCGUCAGGCAGGUGUUCAGAGCCUUGCUCCUGGCGUCAGUCUGCCGAUGAUGUAAGCAAGUGACUAAAAUAUGAAUGUACGAGAAUAACUGAAUGGACACACUGAUAAUCUGCAUGGCUGCUGUGAUCGCCAGCCCAUAGAUGUUGUUGACAGUCAAGUCGCUGUCACAGGAGAGGUUGACCAGGGAGGGGUUGUCGCAGUAGACGUUCCUGAUGAAAUUCCUGCACCUGGGCAGUCUGACUUGCAGAAUGAACAGGCCUCCCACCAGAAUGAGAUCGAGCCCCCACGCGCUCGCUAUGAGGAGGAACAAAGUGAACGGGGUCAUGAUCGAAUUGUACCUCAGCGGCUUGCAGAUGGCGGCGUACCUGUCGAGCGCCAUGACCGCGAGCAGGAACAGGAUGCCCCCCCCGUACAUGUGCAGCAGGAAGGCCUGGAGGACGCAGGUGGGGUAGUAGACGGAGUGCUCCAGGGUCACGAUGUCUGCCAGCACCCUGGGGAGCAUGACCGUGAUCCCCAUCAGGUCGUUCAGCGGCAGGCUGAAGAGGAUGAUGAACAUGGGCUUGUGGAGGUUCCUCUGCCUCACGAUCAAGACCAGAAUGGUCAGGUUGCAGAAGACGGAAAAGAGGUAGAUCAGGAGCCCCACGAAGAACAUGGGGUACUUCGCCACGGGGGGCAUGUCAAAGUGGUUGAUCUUCAAAUUGAACUGAAAGGUUCCAUUUGAAGAGCUUCCCUCCAUCGUCGAUCGUCUGAACUCGGGCCUGAGCAGAGACAGAGAGAUGAGCCAGUUUAUUUACUCUUGGUGUCUACCUGUCUUGGAGUCUACCACAACCUCGAAAGGCUAAAAAUCCGAUAUCUACUGAAAUUCAUUUUAAAGAGACUGUAAAAAUACUGCACCUCAUGCUUGAUACAGUGACAAAAGAGACACACACACACACAAAAACAAAUGCCGUCCAUCUGGGUAGAGGUAUAAGCACUCGCCUACCACCGCAGAGAUUCAAUCCCCGGCAGCGGUACUUCCGGCUUGGUCAGACGUUCCUACGAACACAAUAGGCAGUGUUCGCGGGUGGGAAGCCGGUGAGGGUAUGAGUCCUUAUCGUUGCGUUAGCAACUCCUACUGGUUGGUCGGGGCGCCUGUUCAGCGGGGAGGGGAUCUGGGGGAGAUAGCGUGAACCUCCGCACACGUUACGCUCUCCCAGUGAAACUCCUCACUGUCUGGUGAAAAGAAGCGGCUGGCGACUCCACGUGCAUCGGAGGAGGCAUGUGGUAGUCUACACCCUACACCCAGACCGACAGAGGAUAGUGCAUCGACCAGGACCAUGAUACACACGGGGAAUUGGUACAGAGAAAAUGGCAACAAAAAAAAUAUUUUCCCCAAAGAGAAAAUUCACCUCAGAGCAAAAUCACACUGAUCUGUACUGUGCAGUCUUCCAGGCCUUCAUUUCAACACACAGAUCCCUCUGUAGGGACCUUUCACACAGGAGGGCUCCGUACCGCACACUCACUGUGAUACAGGCUCAUUAAAAACGGAAACAAAUUAAAACUGCAUGGAACGUAAAAUAAAUGAGGUAAUUUAAAUGCGGUCCAUGUGUAAAAAAAAAAAAACACUCAGGUAAUCAAUUACCUUUUGUCAGCAUAAUUUUCAUAAUGCUGUAUGCUGGUAAAGCCAUAUUAUUCUUAUACAACACCUGAAUGCAUUUCAGUACUGUAAGGCAAGGACGAAUUGCAUUAAAUAUGAUGUGUUUUGUGUAGUUGAAUUAUAUUAAUAAUUAAGUAAUUAAGUAACAUCAGAAUUUUCUUGCAGUUGAACUUACCUUUUCUUACCUUGUAGUCCUCUUGAUUUGGCUUUUUUAAUUUUAAGCUGUUUUACCAUGAACGACAUCAAAUCCUACAGCUCUCUGUGCUCUUGUUGCAUUUGCCGGUGGAUGACCUGUCAACGUGCAGAGGUAUUUAAACCAUGUGCAGAGUGGGCAUGUGACACAACUCCAUGGGAACCACACACAAACACACUGAAACUGUCUCCCCUGAAAUUAGGGAGACAGGGUGCUGUGUGUGUGCACGUGUGUGCGCGCACGUGUGUGUGAGUGUGCGUGUGUGUUUUCCAUCACUGGUGGUGGUUGUGGUGAUGACAGCUGAGGAUGAAUGUCAUCUGGGUCUGUUGAUCUCAUUUACUUUAAGUCACUGAGUAGUACUCUGGAAAAUCUAAUUUGAUUAAAAUAUCAUUUGUAUUCUUCUCUGCUUCAUAAUCCCUGAGCUGUAUCUUUAAUUUAUUGUUAUGGUAUGUCGUUUUUGAGGUCAAAGCAGUCAUGCUGUAAGUGUAACAAUGUCUGGAAAAAUUAUGUUUUAAAUACACUGCAACAAUUGUA